rnacentral:rRNA from 1 species
GACGAACGCUGGCGGCGUGCCUAAUACAUGCAAGUAGAACGCACAGUUUAUACCGUAGCUUGCUACACCAUAGACUGUGAGUUGCGAACGGGUGAGUAACGCGUAGGUAACCUGCCUGGUAGCGGGGGAUAACUAUUGGAAACGAUAGCUAAUACCGCAUAAUAUUGAUUAUUGCAUGAUAAUUGAUUGAAAGAUGCUAUUGCAUCACUACCAGAUGGACCUGCGUUGUAUUAGCUAGUAGGUGAGGUAACGGCUCACCUAGGCGACGAUACAUAGCCGACCUGAGAGGGUGAUCGGCCACACUGGGACUGAGACACGGCCCAGACUCCUACGGGAGGCAGCAGUAGGGAAUCUUCGGCAAUGGACGAAAGUCUGACCGAGCAACGCCGCGUGAGUGAAGAAGGUUUUCGGAUCGUAAAGCUCUGUUGUAAGAGAAGAACGGGUGUGAGAGUGGAAAGUUCACACUGUGACGGUAUCUUGCCAGAGAGGGACGGCUAACUACGUG